GGGUCAGUAGGUUGGUCGUGCCACCGGUACGUACUGGUCUCACUGAUUCCUCCUUCCUGAAGAACCGUAAUGCCAUUAAUUUGGUGUUGCGGGGAAACAGGACUGUUACUUUGAAAAAAUUAGAGUGUUUAAAGCAAGCUAACGCUUGAAUACAUUAGCAUGGAAUAAUAAAAUAGGACGAUCGAUCCUAUUUUGUUGGUUUCUAGGAUUGACGCA
rnacentral:rRNA from 1 species